rnacentral:rRNA from 1 species
UACGUAGGGUGCAAGCGUUAAUCGGAAUUACUGGGCGUAAAGCGUGCGCAGGCGGUUGUGCAAGACCGAUGUGAAAUCCCCGGGCUUAACCUGGGAAUGGCAUUGGUGACUGCACGGCUAGAGUGUGUCAGAGGGGGGUAGAAUUCCACGUGUAGCAGUGAAAUGCGUAGAGAUGUGGAGGAACACCGAUGGCGAAGGCAGCCCCCUGGGUCAACACUGACGCUCAUGCACGAAAGCGUGGGGAGCAAACAGG